rnacentral:Y_RNA from 1 species
GGUUGAUCCAAGUGGAGUGAUAUUGACAACUAAUGAUUACAACUAGCUACUGAUUUCCUUGCUAUUUCUCCACUCCCACUGCUUCACUUGAUGAACCUUAA